rnacentral:ribozyme from 1 species
GUUGCUCGAAACUUUGCACACCUCUCGGUGGUGAGCAUCAGGCAACGAUCUUAUGGUUGGCUGAAAAUGCGAAG